CCUACGGGAGGCAGCAGUGGGGAAUUUUGGACAAUGGGCGAAAGCCUGAUCCAGCAAUGCCGCGUGAGUGAAGAAGGCCUUCGGGUUGUAAAGCUCUUUUGUCAGGGAAGAAACGGUGAGAGCUAAUAUCUCUUGCUAAUGACGGUACCUGAAGAAUAAGCACCGGCUAACUACGUGCCAGCAGCCGCGGUAAUACGUAGGGUGCAAGCGUUAAUCGGAAUUACUGGGCGUAAAGCGUGCGCAGGCGGUUUUGUAAGUCUGAUGUGAAAUCCCCGGGCUCAACCUGGGAAUUGCAUUGGAGACUGCAAGGCUAGAAUCUGGCAGAGGGGGGUAGAAUUCCACGUGUAGCAGUGAAAUGCGUAGAUAUGUGGAGGAACACCGAUGGCGAAGGCAGCCCCCUGGGUCAAGAUUGACGCUCAUGCACGAAAGCGUGGGGAGCAAACAGGAUUAGAUACCCUGGUAGUCCACGCCCUAAACGAUGUCUACUAGUUGUCGGGUCUUAAUUGACUUGGUAACGCAGCUAACGCGUGAAGUGACCGCCUGGGGAGUACGGUCGCAAGNUUAAAACGUCAAAGAUAGUACGGAGAGAGAGAGCGACGAGACGACGAGGAGGAGGAG
rnacentral:rRNA from 1 species